GAGUUUGAUCAUGGCUCAGGAUGAACGCAGGCGGCGUGCUUAACACAUGCAAGUCGAACGAACCUUCGGGUUAGUGGCGGACGGGUGAGUAACGCGUGAGAAUCUGCCCUCAGGAGGGGGAUAACGGUUGGAAACGACCGCUAAUACCCCAUAUGCCGAUAGGUGAAAUGAAUUUCGCCUGAGGAUGAGCUCGCGUCUGAUUAGCUUGUUGGUGAGGUAAUGGCUCACCAAGGCCUCGAUCAGUAGCUGGUCUGAGAGGAUGAUCAGCCACACUGGACUGAGACACGGCCCAGACUCCUACGGGAGGCAGCAGUGGGGAAUUUUCCGCAAUGGGCGAAAGCCUGACGGAGCAACGCCGCGUGAGGGACGAAGGCCUCUGGGCUGUAGACCUCUUUUCUCAAGGAAGAAGAUAUGACGGUACUUGAGGAAUAAGCCACGGCUAAUUCCGUGCCAGCAGCCGCGGUAAUACGGGAGUGGCAAGCGUUAUCCGGAAUUAUUGGGCGUAAAGCGUCCGCAGGCGGCCUUUCAAGUCUGCUGUUAAAGCGUGGAGCUUAACUCCAUUAUGGCAGUGGAAACUGAUCGGCUUGAGUAUGGUAGGGGCAGAGGGAAUUCCCGGUGUAGCGGUGAAAUGCGUAGAUAUCGGGAAGAACACCAGUGGCGAAGGCGCUCUGCUGGGCCAUUACUGACGCUCAUGGACGAAAGCCAGGGGAGCGAAAGGGAUUAGAUACCCCUGUAGUCCUGGCCGUAAACGAUGAACACUAGGUGUCGGGGGAAUCGACCCCUUCGGUGUCGUAGCUAACGCGUUAAGUGUUCCGCCUGGGGAGUACGCACGCAAGUGUGAAACUCAAAGGAAUUGACGGGGGCCCGCACAAGCGGUGGAGUAUGUGGUUUAAUUCGAUGCAACGCGAAGAACCUUACCAGGGUUUGACAUCCUGAGAACCUCUUAGAAAUUUGAGGGUGCCUUCGGGAAUUCAGUGACAGGUGGUGCAUGGCUGUCGUCAGCUCGUGUCGUGAGAUGUUGGGUAAGUCCCGCAACGAGCGCAACCCACGUUUUUAGUUGCCAGCAUUUAGUUGGGCACUCUAGAAAGACCGCCGGUGAUAAACCGGAGGAAGGUGUGGAUGACGUCAAGUCAUCAUGCCCCUUACACCCUGGGCUACACACGUACUACAAUGCUACGGACAAAGGGCAGCAAACUCGCGAGAGCUAGCAAAUCCCAUAAACCGUGGCUCAGUUCAGAUCGUAGGCUGCAACUCGCCUACGUGAAGUAGGAAUCGCUAGUAAUCGCAGGUCAGCAUACUGCGGUGAAUACGUUCCCGGGCCUUGUACACACCGCCCGUCACACCAUGGAAGUUGGCCAUGCCCGAAGUCGUUACUCCAACCCUUGUGGAGGAGGACGCCGAAGGUGGGGCUAAUGACUGGGGUGAAGUCGUAACAAGGUAACC
rnacentral:rRNA from 1 species